rnacentral:misc_RNA from 1 species
GAUGAAGAACGCAGCGAAAUGCGAUAGGUAGUGUGAAUUGCAGAUGUAACGUGAAUCAUCGAAUCUUUGAACGCAAAUUGCAUUCCCUGGUAUUCCGGGGAGUAUGCCUGUUUGAGGGUCGCCAAAUACACAUCGAUUAACAUUGCUUUUGAAGUAAAUGUUUAUCGGAUUUGAGCUUUCUUUAUUCUUAAAAUGACAAGGAUAAAGUGGUUUAAAAUUUAUUUUUUUUUGGUAUCAAGCGUAUUUUACAAUCAAUUUUUGAUUAAAAAAGAACGUUUCGAAUGCCAUCCUUUUAAUGUAAUACGUUUGACUAUAUGUAAUAAAUAUGUAGUUCAUUCGCAUACGAUUCAUAAAUUUUUUUUUUUGACCUCAAAUCAGGUAAGAGUACCCGCUGAACUUAAGCAUAUCAAUAAGCGGAGGA